rnacentral:rRNA from 1 species
GACGAACGCUGGCGGCGUGCUUAACACAUGCAAGUCGAACGGAAAGGCCCUGCUUGCAGGGUACUCGAGUGGCGAACGGGUGAGUAACACGUGGGUGAUCUGCCCUGCACUUCGGGAUAAGCCUGGGAAACUGGGUCUAAUACCGGAUAGGAGCCAUUUUUAGUGUGAUGGUUGGAAAGUUUUUUCGGUGUAGGAUGAGCUCGCGGCCUAUCAGCUUGUUGGUGGGGAAAUGGCCUACCAAGGCGGCGACGGGUAGCCGGCCUGAGAGGGUGGACGGCCACAUUGGGACUGAGAUACGGCCCAGACUCCUACGGGAGGCAGCAGUGGGGAAUAUUGCACAAUGGGCGCAAGCCUGAUGCAGCGACGCCGCGUGGGGGAUGACGGCCUUCGGGUUGCAAACUCCUUUCGCUAGGGACGAAGCUUUUUGUGACGGUACCUAGAUAAGAAGCACCGGCUAACUACGUG